UGGGGAAUUUUGGACAAUGGGGGAAACCCUGAUCCAGCAAUGCCGCGUGUGUGACGAAGGCCUUCGGGUUGUAAAGCACUUUUGGCGGGAACGAAACGGCGAUUGUUAAUACCGAUUGCUAAUGACGGUACCCGCAGAAUAAGCACCGGCUAACUACGUGCCAGCAGCCGCGGUAAUACGUAGGGUGCAAGCGUUAAUCGGAAUUACUGGGCGUAAAGCGUGCGCAGGCGGUUUUGUAAGACAGAUGUGAAAGCCCCGGGCUCAACCUGGGAAGUGCAUUUGUGACUGCAAGACUAGAGUGUGUCAGAGGGGGGUGGAAUUCCACGUGUAGCAGUGAAAUGCGUAGAGAUGUGGAGGAACACCGAUGGCGAAGGCAGCCCCCUGGGAUAACACUGACGCUCAUGCACGAAAGCGUGGGGAGCAAACAGG
rnacentral:rRNA from 1 species